rnacentral:lncRNA from 1 species
AUAUAUAUAUAUAAAAAUAAUUUUUCAGAUUCUUUUCCCUUGGUUAUUACAAAAAAUUGAGUAUAGUUCUCUGUGCUAUACAGUAGAUCCUUGUUGGUUAUCUGGCUGUUUGUUUGUCUUUUUAAGGCUGCACCCGAGGCAUAUGGACGUUCCCAGGCUAGGGGUCAAAUCGGAGCUACGGCUGCCGGCCUACACCACAGCCACAGCAACACAGGAUCCAAGCCUCGUUCGUGACCUACACCACAGCUCACAGCAAUGCCGGAUCCUUAAUCCACUGAGGGAGGCCAGGGAUUGAACCUUUGUCCUCAUGGAUCCUUGUCAGGGUCUUUACUAGUGAGCCGUGAUGGGAACUCGCAUCUGUUUUAUAUAUAGUAGUGUGUGUACGUUAAUCCCAAACUCCUAAUUUAUCCCUCUCCCCACUUCCCCUUUGGUAACCAUAAGUUUGUUCUCUAUGUCUCUGGGUCUAUUUUUUUUUUGUAAAUUCAUUUGUAUCUUUUUUUUUUUUUUUUUUUAGAAUCCACAUUUAAGUGAUAUCAUAUAAUAUUGUCUUUCUCUUACUUCACGCAGUGUGAUUGUCUAGGUCCACCCAUGUUAUUGCAAAUCCUCCCCUCCACCCAUGGAAGACCAGACUCUUACUUGUUUCUUUAAUUUUCCAGUUUUAUUGAGUUAUAAUUGACAUACGACACUGUAUAAGCUUAAGGCAAACACUAUAAUGAUUUUACUUACAUGUAUUGUGAGUGUUUUCUGUUUCUUAAAGAGUGGCCUUUAGAGAGUUGCCUUGUGGCGCAGGGGGUCAUUGUCACUGCAGAGGCUCGGGUUACUGCUGUGGUGUGGGAUCUGAUCCCUGCCCAGGACCUUCCACAUGCUGUGGGUGAGGCCAGAAAAAAAGGAGCGGCCUUUACCUCUUCAGUCUCUUGAACUUCUAGAAGUGAAUAUUUCCGGUGUAUCCUACAGUUUAUUAGCCAUGUCACACUCACUAACGUUAUUUUCGGUCUUGCUGGCUUUGGCACCUCUGGACUAGCAUUUCUCAAACUUUGUUCCCAGGAAAAAUUAAUUUCCAGGAUAAAAGGAUUCCACGGUCAAAUGAACUUGAGACAGGCUAGGGUAAAUAAAGUCACCAUGACCUAUGAUAAAGGACUUGUCAGAGCCUGUAGUCUGCAGAGAUCUUCUUUCAUUUAUUUAGCUACUAUUGAUUGAGCAUCCACAUGCCAAGUGCUGGGGUUACACUUAUGAACAGGGUCUCUCUUUUCACAUUCUAAGUGGUUGAAACAGCUGCAAACAAGUAAAUUCCUAAAUAAAAUACAUGAAUAAGUAAUUUCUGAUAGUGAUAAAAGAUGAAAAGACAGUAAAACAAGAUGACAUGAUAGAGUGGGGAUCAAGUGUUUUCACUUUGGGAAAUGUUGCUUUUGCUAUAAAACGGUAGCUUUGUGCGUUUUAACCUUUUAUUUCUGGCUUACCAUUCGUUUUAUUCUUACUAAGCCUAUUAAAAAUAUCAGCACCUUGGGCUGCUGCUAUUUUAACAUUGCUAGUUCAUGAAACGCAGUCAGUCAUGCAUGAUACAAUACGGGUGCUCCUAGGGACCAACAGCAGGCAUUUGGCUGGAGUUAGACUUGGACCUGGUGGCCGUUACCAGGUGAGUUAGUAGCUCUAGCAGAUGCUGUCAGUGCCCUGCCAUAUUCCUUCAUCUUUACCACUUCAAUGCAUGUUGGCCUGACUUCUGAUGUACAGCACCUGCAUUUCUUUGCUUGAAGAUUUUUCUUGCCUAAAGAUCAGUUUGCUGCCCAUGAUGCAAUGCUUCCUGGGAGCAGCCUAACCAAUGACUGACAGGAGCUGGUGAAUAAAUACCCCAGCUUCCUGGUGCUUUUUGAUGGGUAAAUCUAACAGGUGCAACCACAUGGCUCUGGCAGGUUCCACUCGUGGAGUUCCCCUCAAUUACCUAGAGUGGUAAUCGGCUCGAAACAUACCAUUUCUUUUCUUUUUUCCUUUCCCUCCAUCACCUCCCCAUUCCUUUCGUGUCCCAAAUACAUUGCUUGCACUUGAGUUCUUUUCUCAGCAUCAGCUCCUGGGGGAAGCCACGCCAAGCACUAGCUCAUGUCAGAAUCAGAUUACAACCUUGAAUCUAGCUGGUCAAGAUAAAUGAAAAAAGAGAAGACAAUCUAAUGAGGUCUGUCUUUAGAAUUCUUGCAACAUGAAGGGAAAACCCGCUCAACUCUAGAAUAUGCAGCCCGUGUUCAGGGGUUGUCUUGACCAAUGACUUGGGCAACUGUGCAUCGCAUACUCUAUAUGCAAUUAAAUGUGAGUUAGCGAUUUGUAACUAUGUAUUAGUCAAUAUAAACUCUGCUUUAAGAAAGCCAGAAUGAUGUCUUCGAUAACAUCGAAGACAUUUUUCUCCAUUUAGACAUUUGAUUGAACUGGGCAAAUCACAUUUCUGAUUUUUAAAUUAAUGGCCAAGUACAUCUGGAUUUUAGCUCAGAUUAUUUUAGAUAACCUGAAGAGCUAGACAUUUCUCUUGCUUGGCAUCCUGUUAUGUCAAAAUAAUGAGAUAAAAUAGAAAAAAUUUGGUGCCAUUACUAAUGCAGCAGAUCCUAAUAAUUAGUCACAUUUCCUUUCUUGUAAAGCAAGCAUCUAUCAAAAAUCAAAGAGUGAGAGUUUGUUUUUGUAGUUAUUAGGGCUCAGGAAAUGCUUACAAAAGACAGAAUGGUUUAUGGAUUUGGGCUGCAAACCUGAACUUGUAAAGACAAAUUUGAUGGGGAUUAAGGUUUCUCAACCUAGAAAUUGACAUCUAGUAUUGUCAGCCAGAUGGAAUUCCUGAAUAUGACAUCCAUUUUGACAACAAAAUACACUUAAAAAAAAACAGCCCCAAAAAAACCACACACACAAAAGCCCAUUUAAUAGUCUCAUUUCUAGUGUUUUUGAAAAGCUAUCUGUUAUUGUUUGUUGCUGUUGUUCAGAUACUUCUGGUUCUCUCUCAUUCUGGACACAUGAGAGAAUUGUGUUUCUGGUCUUCUGUGGCUGGGCGAGGACACGUGACUUGUUCUGCCCAAUGAGCUGUAGCAACAACAUAGUGCCACGUUUAGCAUUUGCCUGUUCGUGUGGGCCCAUCAAGCGUUCUCUCUUCCCCUUUUGUAUGGUAACCAGCAAAGUUCAAGGUGAUGACUGCUCUGUCAGCCCGUGUCCCUGAGUGACACAGAGGAUCAGAGCCGCCCUGUUGACUUGCUUGAGCAAGAAGUAAAUUUUGGCUGUUUUGAGGCAAGGAGAUAUUGGGGUGCUUUGUUACCAUGGCAUAACAGACCAAUACUGACUGAAACAGCUCUGGGCAUAAUAUAUUUAGCAACUUACAGGGAGAGUACUUUUAGCUAAUUCUAUUAUGUUGUCACAGUGACAGUGAUAGAGAGGUUUUUGUCCUUGAAAAACUGAACACAUAUAAGCAGCAUUUAAAAGGUACCAUAGAAAUAAAUGUCUUUGGAUAUAGACAUUUUUUUUUCUUGUUUGUAAUUGAAGUAUAGUUGAUUUACACUGUUGUGUUUCAGGUGUAUAGCAAAGUGACUCAGUUAUAUAUUUAUUCUUCUUUGGAUACUUUUCCAUUACAGGUUAUUAGAAGAUGUUGAAUAUAGUUACCUGUGCUAUAUAAUAAAUCCUGUUGUUUAUUUUAUACAUAGUAGUGUGCAUCUGUUACCUCCAAACUCCUAAUUUAUUCCCCAGCUUUCCCUUUUGGUUACCAUAAGUUUGUUUUCUAUGUCUGUGAGUUUAUUUCUGUUUUGUAAAUAAAUUCAUUUGAAUCAUUUUUUAAGAUUGCAUGUAUAAGUGAUAUAUAUAUUAAUCUUUAUCUGAUUUCACUUAAUAGGAUAACCUCUAGGUCCAUUCAUUCAUGUUGCUGCAAAUGGCAUUAUUUCAUUCUUUUUUAUUGGUAAGAUUGCAUUGUACUACAUCUUUUUUAGCAUUCGUCUGUCACUUAGGACACUUAGGUUGCUUCCAUGUCUUGGCUAUUGUAAAUAGUGCUGCUAUGACAUGGGGGUGCCUGUAUCUUUUUGAAUUAGAGUUUUUGUCUUUUCUGGAUAUAUGCCCAAGAGUAGGAUUGCUGGGUCAUAUGGCAACUUUAUUUUUAGUUUUUUGUUUGUGUGUUUGUUUUGGCCACACUCAUGGCAUGUGGAAAUUCCCUGGCCAGGGACUGAACCUGUGCCACAGCUGCAGCAACGCCAGAUCCUUAACAUGCUGUGCCACAGGGAGCUUCAUAUUUUUAGGUUUUUAAGGAACCUCCAUACUGACCAUAUGACUUUACAUUCCCACAAACAGUGUAGGAGGGUUACCUUUUCUCUGCAUGCUCUCCAGCAUUUGUUAUUUGUAGACUUUUUAAUGAUGGCCAUUCUGACCGGUGUAAGGUGUUACCUCAUAGUUUUGAUUUUCAUGUCUCUCAAAUUAGCGAUGUUGAGCUUCUUUUAACAUGCCUAUUGCUGUACUGGCUUCUUUUAUUCAAUUACUUUCUCAUUUCUUAGGCUUAGGAUUUUGGAAAUUCUGAAUUUUUGAUGUUGCUGAGAAUUGAAUUUUGAGAAGAAAAUGUUGCAGAAUUACAGAAAGCAUUUUUGGAAUAGUGCCAAGUAUAAUAUGUGUCCUUAGAGGAAAAAAAAAUGCCAGAGAGCACAACUUGAAUUGGCAGGGGGUAGGGGAAGAACAUAUAUAUAUUUUUUUUUUUCUUUUGUCUUUUUGUCUUUUUGUUGUUGUUGUUGCUAUUUCUUGGGCCGCUCCCGCGCAUAUGGAGAUUCCCAGGCUAGGGGUUGAAUCGGAGCUGUAGCCAUCGGCCUACGCCAGAGCCACAGCAACGCAGGAUCCGAGCCGCGUCUGCAACCUACACCACAGCUCACGGCAACGCCGGAUCGUUAACCCACUGAGCAAGGGCAGGGACCGAACCCGCAACCUCAUGGUUCCUAGUCGGAUUCGUUAACCACUGCACCACGACGGGAACUCCGGAAGAACAUAUUUUCAAAAUACCACCCCUCUAACAAACACGUUUGUAAGGGAGACAUUUCCCCUUCUCCUUUAUUUUUCUUCUCCAUUUCCUCCUACUAUUGCAUGCAAUAAUUUCCCCAAAUAUGCAGAUUUUUAACUAGUUCUAAGAGGCGUCUAAGUCCCAUUCCUGGCUUUAAGUUGAGUCAUAUAAAAGUUAUUACUUGUCUUUGUAAAAACCAAGUUAGAUUGGGUCCAAAAACCAAGUUAGGUUGAGCCUCGCUAAGAGCAUUAGGUGCAAUUUGUUCUAGAAAAUAAUGUUUUCAUUUCUGCCAGACUUCUCAAUUGAUUUUAACGCAGACUCAUACAUGGUGAUUGAAAGCAUUAGUGUUACUACAGGAGGUUAGCAGAAUUAUUUCUAUUUAGAACAGAGAUGAGAAGGAUGAAGGUGAUAAUGUCAAAAGUGAAUAAGUGGGUUUUUUUUUUUUUUAAUCAAAAGUUAUACAUAGAUUGGGUGUUCCCAUUGUGGCUCAGCAGAAAUGAACCCAACCAGUAUCCAUGGGGAUGCGGGUUCCAUUCCCUAGCCUUGCUCUGUGGGUUAAGGAUCUGGAGAUGCUGUGAGCUGUGGUGUAGCUCACAGACUCGCCUUGGAUCCUGCAUUGUUGUGGCGUAGGCUGGCACCUGCAGCUCCAGUUUGACCCAUAGGCUGGGAACUUCCAUACCCCCUGGUGGGGCCCUAAAAAAAGCAAAAAAAAAAGUAAUACUUAGAUUAUUCUUAGGUUUCAGAAACAAAAUUACCCGUCCCUCACUGCAUCCAGUAACCUGAGCCAACCAGAAACUUUUGGUAUCCUCUAAUGUGGGGAGGAAGAGGAGGCGGCUGCGAUGGUGAGGUUUUUCAAAGGAACCUCAACCUUACUUUGACCCUCAGCUUGCUCAUAGACUUAAGGCAGUUCUUAGAUGAAAAGGUUGUUCUUGAGUCUCCAGUGACCCAGCAGGUUAAGGAGACAGCAUUGUCAUUGCUGUGUCUGUGGUCACUGCUGUGGCACAGGUUCCAUCCCUUGCCAGGGAACUUCUGCCCCAGAGGCCAAGAAGGACCCCGCCACUUUGGAAAUGCCCCCUCCCCAGCCUCAGGUUCAGGCUCUCUUCCGGUCCCGCCCCCCCAGGUAUCGGGCCUGGGUAGGCCAAUCCCCACCCACUUCCGGCGGCACCACCAAUCACCACCGCUCAGUGCGCGCUGCCCACAGGGGCCUGCCUCUCAGAGAUGCUCCAGGUGUGAGUCUUGCGCUAGAGCCUGAAGACCCCCGACAGCCGAGGCCUGAGAGGGCGGAGCCCUGCGCCCCAGGUGAGCCGGAGCCGGAAGGAAGGGCGGGGUCCGGGUGGGGGGCUUUCUUAGUGGCUGCUUCCUGGGCCACUCCUGGAGCCAGACGUCAGGGUCUCCUCAGAAAAGUCACAGGUCAAGUCGAAUCUUGAGAGCUGGGAAGCUACCAGAGAUUUAAAAAAAAAAAAAAAAGGAAAAAAGAAAAAAAA